rnacentral:lncRNA from 1 species
AGGCAUGAUUUGACAGGAUAAUGCCCUCACUUGAUAAAAGGAGAGACUCUCUGUCAGCUGCCCGCAUCCUCCCUGAAGCUCUGGAAUCUGACUUCAUGGAGCAUUUGAGCAGCUAAGCUUUUCCUGACCCCCUCCCUCCCACCACCACUCCCGCCUUCCCCCAGUUGCUGAGCAUAAUUGAGAAUUAAUUGCAUGUCUGCUUAUUAUUUUGCUUACUUAAUUUGGUCUAAACGUUGUUCACACUCCAGACUUAAGGCCUGGAAGUGGCUGUCUUCAGGACCUGAUCUCUCCAAGACAGGCGCUCCAGUGGAUCUGAGUUAGAUCGGUGUAUAGAUCAGAGUUCCUAAGAAGCAAUGGACAAAGACCCAGAGUCUGUGCUGGGGGCCUUGGAAGGCUCUAAACCCUGAGCAGCAGUUUACAGAAGAGGCGAACAAUAUGGAUAUGGAGACAAUCUCUUAGGAGACUUGGGAGUGCUCUCCUGUAGGAUCCAAGACUUCUCAUCUUUCCGAUGCGAACUGAAUUAUGCUAGCAUGUCAACCAGGACAUUUCAGAGAAGCAUCGAACAGAAACGUGUUAGUAAACCUCUUACCAGAACACCCUCACUAUCGAUUUUUUUUUGUCACUAAAACACAAACCAGCAUGGGACAUUAAACAGGACCUUUGGUAUUUGGUGUUGGGAAAAUGCCCCCUUGGAUCUAGAGCUCUUUAGGAGUAAUGGCUUCCCGAAAAGAACUAUAGAGAAAAAGAAGGCAGAAUAACCCAGGUGCCUGAGCAUCUUUGAGGAGAGGUUGUCUGUACAGGUGUAUGAGGAAAAGAAAAUCUUAUUUAUGAAUGGAGUGUGGUGAUACACCCUAUCCCGAGCUUUUGUCCCCACCAGCAAGAACAUGCUCAGGACAACCGGAAUCUUCUGCGGCAAAAGCUUUAUUGCUUACUUCUUUAGGAACAAGAGGAGAAGAAUAGGGGCGAAUGGCAAAACCCUGUCCCUUUUAUGGAGGAUUGUCCUCCGCCUCGGACAUGUCGCUCCCUGAUUGGCUGCAGCCCAUCAACCGAGUUGUCGUCAAGGGGAAGGCAGAGCACAUGGAGUGGAGAACUACCCCGGCACAUGCGCAGAUUAUUUGUUUACUACUUAGAACACAGGAUGUCGGCGCCAUCUUGUAAUGGUGAAUGUGAGGGUGGCUCCUCACAACAUCCCUUUAAUCCCAGUACUGAAGGCAGAGGCAGGUGGAUUUCUGAGUCUGAAGACAGCCUGGUAUAGAGAGCUAGUUCCAGGGCUAUACAAGAAGACUCUGUCUUGCAAAAAAUGAAACAAAACAAAAUAAAACAAAUGAAUAAACAAAAA